AUAAGUUAGACCAAGUAACUUAAAAAAGUGAAGCAAUACUUUUGUGAAAGGAGAGCUUGUUCCUGAGUUUUUGAAAAAAACCAAAAAAAAUCUUCGAUGUAGAUGGCUGGACGCUGCUUGCAUGGUUGAUAAUGUAUAUCAAUUUCAUAGCCAGUUCUACUUCGCGAUAAGUACGGAGGUUAAUAAAAUAUGACAAGUGAG
rnacentral:ncRNA from 1 species